rnacentral:rRNA from 1 species
AAGGAAUAUUGGACAAUGGAGGCAACUCUGAUCCAGCCAUGCCGCGUGAAGGAAUAAGGCCCUAUGGGUUGUAAACUUCUUUUAGACGGGACAAAACCCCUUUACGUGUAAAGGGUUGAUGGUACUGUCAGAAUAAGCAUCGGCUAACUUCGUGCCAGCAGCCGCGGUAAUACGAAGGAUGCAAGCGUUAUCCGGAAUUAUUGGGUUUAAAGGGUGCGUAGGCGGACUAAUAAGUCAGUGGUGAAAGCCUGCAGCUUAACUGCAGAAUUGCCAUUGAUACUGUUAGUCUUGAGUACAGUUGAGGUAGGCGGAAUGUGUCAUGUAGCGGUGAAAUGCUUAGAUAUGACACAGAACACCUAUUGCGAAGGCAGCUUGCUAAGCUGUAACUGACGCUGAG